AAUUAAUUAUUCACCAGCCCUCCAGUGUGGUUGACCGCUGACCCUCACUGAUGUCCUCUCCAAGGUUCAUUCAGCCUUCCUCAGCUCAGCCAACAAGUUUGAGUGUCUGGACAUGGGAUAUAAACUGAGGCUGAGGAGGAUUAUGAAGCUCCCUCAUUGAAUGUGACCAGUGCAAGCAGCAAAAUUAGCACAUACUACAGGGGUGAAUUUGCUCACUGUCUGGAGCCCUUACUGCUGCUGGGACAGCGCCACCCAGCCUCCGUCACCGGGGCAACUAGUAUCGCAGCCCUAUCCUCCAGACUGAGAUCUAGAACAUGAAGGACCAGGUACAGGAGCUACACAGGGACCUGACCAAGCGCCACUCCCUCAUCAACACAGACACCAUGGGGGAGAUACUGGACCGCUCCCUGCACAUCGACAGACAGAUCAAUCAAAUGUUCAAAAGAAUAAGCUUUAAAACCCAGGUUGAAGGGACCACCCUCACCAAACGGCAGCAAAGUGCUUAGGCAAAGACACCUGGAUCCACGUAUCCCACUGUAAGCAAGUAGCAGAGCCAGAAGAAGAUGCUACUCCUGUUACUCCUACAAUCCAGUAGGAGCACUCUGCUUACCCUGGGACUCGCAGAUAUUGUGGCUGUGGGCAUCCUCUGGAUGGUAGCAGACUUCGAGCCAGAGGCGGGAGAACGUGCUAGUAACCUCUCCCCGACCUCUUCAGUUCAACGAGACUGUGGAAGCCGAGAAGUAGAUGACCCUGCUGACCUGAACCUGGACCCUGGUGACCCCGCUGAGCUGAAGAGAAGAAAAAGAUGACAUACACAUUAUGGGGUUUCCCCCGGGUCAAACACUUUCUUACAAGUAACUAAUAAUGUUUCUGUGCUACAGAAUGUAUCAGAUUGUUGGGUUUGUGGACUGUUGACAGACAGUGCUGAGACUAUGCCAUUGCUAGCUAUACCCCUUAAUGCUUAUGUAAUAUUGAUGUGGACCAAAGCAGGUAACCUUUCAGAUUGAGAGCUUGAUUGGGUGGAGGGUGAGGUGUUUUUAUAUGAGAAGAUUUGAUUUUAAUGAUCACACCUCUCUGCCCAAGCAACCCACCACCCUGGCAUACUCUCCCCCAGGUUGUUUGGGUUAUAUAGAAAAUGGAACUGGUCCCCAGUUGGGGGAAAGUAAUUGUAAGUAUAACCUUUCUGUAUACAAUAACCUUACCCUACCCUUACUGUUGAGAAAUGGAACAUUCCACCCUAACAUGUCUUUGAGAAUGCAUUAUAGACUGAAGAAUGUCAGUGUGUAUGCUAAACCUACUUCCUCAGUAAGUGGAACUAUGUAUGUGUGUGGGAGAAAGCCUACUCUUUAUCUGCCUACAAACUGGUCAGGAUCAUGCUAUGCUGCCUAUGUUGUUCCUGCUGUGCGUGCUACCCCAGUACCCACAAAUCACAAUUUCUCCCACUUGUAUAGGAGGACCAUUGUAGCCGGCCCUACAAAACAGAUCCCUAUGAACCUUCCUUUUCGCCAGAUUGUUAUUAUAAAGUUCCCUUUCAGAAGUUCCAUUCAGACCACCCCUUUCUGUGUAAAAUGACAAUUUCCCAGAAACCAGAAGGUUUUAAGUUCUGUUUGACAACAGCUCAGAUAUAUCACAUAUACAUGGCAUCAAAGGGGUAAUUGCUGUGGCAGAAGUGGAGUGAGCUGGGGUUAUGUCUUUGUUCUCUGUUCUGUGUUAGACUGUGAUGUUAUGCAUUUCAUAGACUCAUGUUAUCACUGCACCCUAACAGAAGGCCAUUGUGUUCUGGAACUGUUUCUUGUAUAAAAUAACUGUUGUGUAAACAAUACGAUUGUAUAUAUAAAAAUAAAAUAGAUAUAAGGGACAUGUAACCACUUACUCUUCGAGAUCCCUGACUGCGAUCAGAGACGGAUCUGCCUUACAGCUGCCCGUAUAUGUUUGUAUUAAAUUUUCGCUAUUAUAGUCAUAAAUUAGUCUCUGCAUAAUCUUUGGAUUUAGUUUUCUACAACAGCAUCCAUCAAGACCAUCGACUACCAUUGGCCAGGAAGGAAGACAGCCAGUCACAAUGAGAUGCCAGCAUAUUAGACUGCCCCCCCUCCUGUGUGGUCCCCAGCUCUGUACCUAAAUAGGCCCCUGGCCCCCACACACAACAGGGCAGAGACAGCAUGUGAGCUCUUCUUCUGUUCAUAUAGCCACUCCUGACAUCUAAUGGUGACAUUUCCUGGCAUAGAGGAGUUGUCAUCCCUUAGACAAACAGGUCUCAGAGGACUGCAGUAACACUGACACGCACUGGGCUCAAUCAGUCACUAACUGUACUCAAUGACUCACUAACUAGAGUAAAUGGACAAACUGAGAGGGGGGUGAAAAGAUAAAUCUGAAGGACUCACCUCUCAUUAUGGACUGAAUGGAUGAAGGAUCUGGAGUUUUAUGCUGAGGAAGUGACUGACUACCAUUUCUCAAUCAUCAAUGCAUGGUUCAGACAUACAGUACAAUAGCAUACAGAGGAAGAGUGCUUCCUUAGUCUAUAUUACUGAAAUUGUAAUAUGCUGUUAUGCUAUGAGUUAUCCUGAAUGGGCAAGUCUGUCUGAUUGUAUGGUUCUAAAACCAAUUGUUGUAUUUGUAUCAUAUGAUCACUAGUUGUCAUAUACAUUACAUAAGGGAUUGUACCUAUCUGGUGAUGCUGGUCUUCAUCCUCAGGAGGUCAUAGAUAGUUCUGGUUUGACACCAAGAAAUAGAACAGUCCAAAUGUAAAGUGCAGUCAUCUGUAUAAUGCAUUAAUGUGCAUGUAACCUGUGCAUUAAUCAUGGUGAAAUGAGGUGAGUAUUGACAGUAUGGUUUCCUUAAUUUACCCAAGAGUAAGUGGCAAAUUGGUGAAAUAUAUGUAAGGCACAGGCAGGCAUCCCUUCCCCCUUUCUCCUGCCACCUCUUCUCUCCCCCGGCCCCCCCUCUCUCCUUCUCUCUCCAUCCCUCCGAGGCACAGGCACAGCCUAGUAAAUGUAUUCCUUCGUGUUCCUCCCUGUCCUCUCCUCCAGCACAUUAGUAAAGUGUCAGCAGCAUGCUCCAGGGUUUUCCACCACCAGGAAAUCAGCAGGCUACUCUCUGCAUCUUUCUCUCUCUGUACCACCCUCUUUCCAUCCUUCUUUCUUAUUCUCCAUUCCCCCUGAAUCCUCUUUGUCCCUUUUUGUACCAGGUAAACAUAGAUUGCACACAAUUACAUUUUGAAUUCAAUAAAGAUUUAACUGUACAUUUC